rnacentral:rRNA from 1 species
GAUGAACGCUAGCGGCGGGCUUAAUACAUGCAAGUCGAGGGGUAGCAAGAUUGUAGCAAUACAAUUGUUGACGACCGGCAAACGGGUGCGGAACACGUACACAACCUUCCUACAAGUGGGGAAUAGCCCAGAGAAAUUUGGAUUAAUACCCCGUAACAUAGCGAUGUGGCAUCACAUUGCUAUUAUAGCUUCGACGCUUGUUGAUGGGUGUGCGGCUGAUUAGAUAGUUGGCGGGGUAACGGCCCACCAAGUCUACGAUCAGUAGCUGAUGUGAGAGCAUGAUCAGCCACACCGGCACUGAGACACGGGCCCGACUCCUACGGGAGGCAGCAGUAAGGAAUAUUGGACAAUGGACGCAAGUCUGAUCCAGCCAUGCCGCGUGAAGGACUAAGGUCCUCUGGAUUGUAAACUUCUUUUAUGAGGGACGAAAAAAGGUCUUUCUAGAUCGUCUGACGGUACCUUAUGAAUAAGCACCGGCUAACUCCGUGCCAGCCGCCGCCGUAACAC